AUUUAAAAUGAUUAAAAAUAAAUAAAAGAGAAAAUCCCGAACUAUGAUAAAUAAUGAUCCAAAAAUAAUUGCAAAAAUUACACAAAGUCCAAAGUAUUAUGCAUGAAUAGACUCAAAGGUUGGAUGAAAAAAUGUUUUGAAAUGGUUAAAAAAUAAAUUGGAAAAUAAAAUUAAAUAAAAAUAAAAAUAAAUCCAAAAAUGAUUUUAAAAAAUAAGAGAAAAAUGUAUGUGGUGCAAAGUAUUUUUAAAGACUUUUUAAA
rnacentral:lncRNA from 1 species